UUAAUUCUAGGUUUAAUUCAGACACAGACGAUAUAUUGCAUAAAUACGACGCCAUAGCGCCGAAGCACACUCUACCUCCACGGUUUUGAAGGGUCGAAGGCCACAGGUGGCCAUUCAUUAAUGAUCCCUCCGCAGGUUCACCUACGGAGA
rnacentral:misc_RNA from 1 species